CAACAGGGAUUGCCUCAGUAACGGCGAGUGAAGCGGCAACAGCUCAAAUUUGAAAUCUGGCUCCAGGGCCCGAGUUGUAAUUUGUAGAGGAUGCUUUUGGUGCGGUGCCUUCCGAGUUCCCUGGAACGGGACGCCAUAGAGGGUGAGAGCCCCGUCUGGUCGGACGCCAAACCUCUGUAAAGCUCCUUCGACGAGUCGAGUAGUUUGGGAAUGCUGCUCUAAAUGGGAGGUAUAUGUCUUCUAAAGCUAAAUACCGGCCAGAGACCGAUAGCGCACAAGUAGAGUGAUCGAAAGAUGAAAAGAACUUUGAAAAGAGAGUUAAAAAGUACGUGAAAUUGUUGAAAGGGAAGCGCUUGUGACCAGACUUGGGCUCGGUUGAUCAUCCAGGGUUCUCCCUGGUGCACUCUCCCGGCCUAGGCCAGCAUCAGUUCGCUGCGGGGGAAAAAGACGCCGGGAACGUGGCUCCCCCCGGGGAGUGUUAU
rnacentral:rRNA from 1 species